UGAGGCUCUCGCGCUCACCGAAUUGGAGUUUUGGCGCGUCCCUGGCCUGUUUGAUGGUGGGUGAUAAAUAAGUCGGGCGGUAGGAUGGCCAGGAACAACGAACAAAGCAUACAUGUAAUAUUUUUGCAGUCUAUUUUGAGAAGACAAGGAGAUUGGUUUGGGCUUUCUUUUCUUAGUUUUGGUUUUCUUGUAUUCCGUUAUCAAUUAAGUAAAGAAUCAAUACUGUAUGUUGGCGGGUUAUAAGACUUUAAGUAAUAUUUUUUUCUGAGUUAAAUGAGAGAGAAGAGGCUACAAACUUACAGUCAGCUGUACUGCUGUAGCAUGAGCUCCAACAUCCUUUGUGAGAGAAACAUGUGGAUUAUAUAUUAAUGAUUGUGAGAGAAACAUGUGGAUUACUCCCUCCGUCUUUUAAAAAAUAUACUUCUAACUUUGUUGAAAAGUCCAAAAAAAUUAUGUUUGAUUGUAUUUAUACAGUAAUCUUAAAAUAUAUUUUUAUCAUAUACCUAUUUGUUUCGCAAACAUUGAUAUAUGUUUGCAGAAACUCGUCAAACUUUCAGAUAGUACACUUUUUUAAGGACGGAGAAAAUAUAUAUUAAUGAUGUAGUAUAUUAAUAUGAUUAACUAUUAUAUGAGUGGGCUAUAAGAGACAUGGUAAAUCCAUAUAGUGCGUUGUUAUAUUAACCAUGCUCUUAUUGUACUUGUUCUAACUGCUUUUUUUCUUUCUCUUGGCUUCGUGACAAUGCACGGGAAUUGUGCCAGUGACCCUAACGUCCAGUUUACAGAGAUCUUAAAACACUUAAAAAAACGUGAGUAUCAUAUUCGAAACUGCCAAACUGCUAACUAUUUAAAACUAAAACGUUAUUACAUCCAAUAUGUGAGUAUAUGGGAUGCGCUAACUUUUAUGAGACGGAGGGAGUAUAUCACAUCAGAUACACUUUGAAACAAAGAAUAUGUCACACACAUACACACACAUCUCCCUACUUGGAAUCAAAAUCAUGGAUACAGUAAACGCACAACUUCGUAACUGCGUCACAACCCUGGGGUAAAAGAUUAGAUCUCCUCUCAGUGGUAUUACAUAACUUCAAUAAUUUCCUGUACAAAAUGUCAUGGAAUAUCGAGAGUACAAAAGCCACGGUUUUGUACUUCGGUAGAAGAAAUAAGAACAUUUGCCACAACAACAUUUUCUAUGCACACUUUAAUCAAACUAAAAGCUAACCUCAUAUGUCACGACCACACAAUAAAAGAAACGAUCAACAAAGUUAGAACCUCUUGAAAGGAAAUGCGCUCCGGCCCUUCUGGCAUUGCACGCGUACUCCGUAACAUUUGGCAACGGUAGAACACACUCCAGUUAUUUUCACCGAUAAUUGUGCUGCCUUUUCUUGGUUAGCCCCAGACAAAUUAUUCCACGAUGUUCCACGCAGGUCUCCAUGCUGCAAAGUGACCUCUACCGUCUGUCCAGGGCAGAUUAUACCAGUUGCUGGAGAAACCUGUGUUGAAGACAUGUUUCACCCUCAGUGCUCAAGCAUUAAAAGCUCACAGUGUUGGACAAGCAUCAACAAGCAGAACCAUCUUACAGUAAUUAGAUUGUUCUAAAAUGAAGUGAGCCAAUAUAAGGAGAGUCAGGACAAGGCAUUAACCCACCUUAAGCCAAGUAGGGAAACCAGCAGAAUCUGUGCCAGAGGAACUUGGUGCUUGGCCAGUUAUCUCAAAACAAGCUCUGUCUUCUGUACUUCUGUUUUGUAGUUUAAAAAUAUAGGGAGUUUGGUCUUGCAGAAUGAUGUCAUUGGUGCUCACAUUUGCUUCAGGGAAUGCUUUUAGCCCCUGGAGCAAGUGCAACACUUUCUUAUUUGAACUCAUUAUCUCCCCAUAUUUCUGCCUCAUCGUCUGUUUCUCAACACGUGCAACAUCCAAAUUGAACAAGCAUUUUACAGGUUUGUGAUCACUGUCUGUUGCUUCCAUGCAAGAGUCGUACCUUGAAAUAUAGAAUAAUACAGUUCCAUAAGGUUUCUAUGUACUAACUGAAAAAUGGAUGUUAGGUACACAGGACAAAAAGACUAACUACAAAUAAGACCUGAUUUCGGAAAUAAAAAACUUUGUACAGCUCAAACCAUCUGUCUGAUUGGACAUCUGUUUUCACCACAGAUUUCGUAACGACAAGUGCUUUAAAGUAAGAUCUCAGUUGACUAUGUUUCGAGAAACCUAUUUGAACUCUUUUGUUGCCAGGCAGUAACGCAUUAGUUGCCACCCUAUUUUGUAACAUGUCACCACAUGGCAACUUUAUAAAUUGUCAGGUGGUAACAUUGAAGGCAAAAAAGAAAAGUCAUCGAAACAUACCAACAUGGGGUCUGGUUUUUGAGCUCUCGUCAAAACAAAGCCAACAGUGAAAACAGAUCAUAAAUUGGCUCUAUAUUUAAAAGAUAAAAUGUUUUAACUUCCGAGUACAUGCAUGCAAAUAGCAAAUGAGAGAUGGACUGGUGGAGGAAACGUCGUGCUCUAGGACAAUCGAGCACAUGUUCUUGCGUUAUUUGUGCCCUACUAAUAUUCUUUAUCCAGUGAGAUAAUCAAACAACAAAUGACUUACAGUGAUACUGAACAAACCACAGGACAAUCCAAAGAACACUCAGUUCCUGAACUAGCUCGGCUGUCACGGUAUAGAACUCGGUCACACCAGGCAGGAAUGCGUUUCUUCUCACUACAAUCAUACCCUACAAUAAGAGAGAAGUUUCUUCAAACGAAGUGUUCAGGAAUCAGGAGUUCAGAAGUAUUAUCAACUCAUAAGGAUCAAAUUGGUACCGUAUGAAACAUUAUUGCUGUGAUAAGCACACACUAAUAUAACUAGCGGUUUGCCAUGGAACACCCCCCAAAGAGUGUACUACUUUUGAUGCAGAUCGAUGAUACACCAGUGGCUGGGUUAUACACCCACUCCCUAACCAAGUGAGCUAGCCUCACUUCUUAUCUUUACAUCAACUUCCUCCGGUUGUUACCAGAUUACAGUCUCAUACCCUUCUAGAAAUUUUACUUUAGCAUUCUCAUUCAUCUACAUACAUGUUAUAUAACGUUAGUACAUAAAGUCGUCUCCAACCUCGCAAAAGGAAAUCCUCUCCAUGCAAAUCAGCACCUCUAACAGUGAAGACCGGAUGCACAAAAAAUAAGGAUACCAUUUAAUCUUCUAUUGAACGAAAAUGGCAUUUUCAAAGUUUUUUAGAAAAGGGCAGGGUGGGGGUUACUGAAGCAGGCCUCAAACAACUAUCAUCAGAAUAACUAUACCUGAUAAGCCAGCUUUGUGUUUCUCAAAUUUGUAAGUAGGUGGGAACUGGAAAUCUCCUUCACGUAAUCCCUGGAAGACUCUCCCGGAUCUCAUUUCUGCUCGCAGCUGGUCAUUCUUCCUCAGCCAGUCAAAGCGUCUCCGGGAAACCAACCCCAUCGCCUCUUCAUACGAAAUGUCGUAAAGCCGGUAAUUGAAGUCACCAAGAAAGACAAUCAUGUCCGUAUCUGACAACUCAGGCAUUCUUGAUCCCUAUCAUAGCAACAUUUUGGUAAUGUUUACAAUCUCAGAUAAUGGAUCUAGAAACAACUCUAUCCACUGCAAAAAUAAAAUGAAGGGGAAGCAACAACAUACAUUUGCUUGAAGAAGCUGACCGGCAGAACCAGAAACUGCAACAUGAAAAGAAGUUGAGUAACAGUGUGUAAGAUUAAGAAGUUCUGAAUUCUUGGCACGAUUCUUCAUUGUGAUUAGGAUGGUUGGCCAGACAUUUACAAAUUUGAACAUCAUCAUGCAGAAAAGUUAACAAGAAGAUUGAACAAUUACUUGAUGCUGUCAAUAAUCCACUUGAAGGGGUGGCAAAGGUCAUUGUUCUAAAGACAUGGUCAAAGUCUUCAUUUCGCCGGCUCACAGCUUCCAUAUGUGCAGCGAAAUGACAAUUUACAAAGCAAAUGCUUCUAUCAUGUAUUCUCAUCCUCAAUCCGACUGCUCCCUGAGACAGUGAAGUACAUUACAAAAUGUAGUAAACUAAGCUGAACUAAAAUGAAACCAUAAUGCUGCUUCUAUACUCCCCCAAAACUAAAUUACGCGAAUAUUUAAGCAGAAUUGCGCCAUGCCUACUCAGCAUCCCGUAAUAACUGCCCAAAGGCAGCAUGCCCAACCAGGAAGCAUGAGCAAUGUGCACAGUCCUGUCCAGGAGGGAUACAUCGGCAAUGCAGAAUACAUCACAGUAGGAGGAUAUAUUACUCGAUUUGGUUCCAGUUAAGUUUAGAUCAGGUAUCGCAAGAUUAUAUCCCUAGUUUUAGUUAAUUGCGUCUGUUAGAAGUAGAAAUGGAAUCAGUGUGCUAAUAGGGCUGCCUCAUCUAUAUAUGAGGUGCCUAUAAGUACUCUCCAUACCCCUAUCAUCUCUUCUACACAGAUCUUGUUACACCUGCAAGUAGAGGACCUCAGCCUCGACCUUCUUCCGUCACUGAAAAGCUAUGCUCAUGACAAUUUGGUAACAGGCGCAGCCCUUGAUACGGCUGUGGCGGCUCCUGGUCAGAUCAAGGUAUGGAUGGCAGCGACAAUCUCGCUAGCCAGAUGGCUGCUACCCGAGAGGCUGAACCAGACUAACGAGAUCAAUACCAAGAUCAGCGGGGUGGAUCAGCAGCAGUCCGCACGGCUGCUAUUAACUGAAUAGAAGGCACAUGCCGAGAUCACCAUAGUGGUGUCCUCUCACUCAAGACUUGUUCCCCUGGGGGCAUCCUGGCAGGUCCAAAAGCUGUGCAUGGCUUCUCUCUGCUAACAGCCACUGCUGCCACCUCCAUAGAACACACUGCAGACUGGACUGCACCACAUCUACAAGUACUUCUCAACGUUUGAUGGCAAGGAAGAUUGUUACCCUAGCUGAACUGCUACAAACAACCUUUAGGAGAUGAUGGACAGGAAGGUAUGGCUAGUGUCCUAUCACGUGACGGGGCUGCAUAAACAUGGUAGCACCACAUGGAUUGACAUGACAGUGUCCAAACUGGAAGCACUUCACCUACCUUUUCAACACCAGUUUCAGGCAUCCCUACUAGCAAUUCCCUCAUGGAAUUGGUUUCUCUAUGACAAAGUGGCUCGCUGUGUCAGUUCCAGGAGCAAUUUCUGACACUGCCUACAUGGCAGAUCCUCUGACAGAAAACAAGCAGAUCCAACUCUUCACCAUCAGAUCACAGGAGCCGCUGUGAACAGAUAUCAAGGUACAAGCACCAGAACUUUAGAAAUGGUCAUAAGGCUGCUGUACAUGUCAACCUGAUUGCCAAGCCUGCCGCAGUGGGCUCCCGUCUGGUAAGCAAUAGUCAUCGAAAAACAACCCGCUGCCAAGCUGGGCAAUUCGCGCCUAAUAUCUAGAUCAAGUUGUAUUUACACAAGAAAGGAGUUGGGCAUAUAUAACAACCAGCAGAGAACGUUCACUUAAAUCAAACACUACUUAAAAAUAAAUGGCUGAUGAGUAUGAUGGCAAAAUGGUGAGCUGAAAUAAAAACUAUAUUGACAUUUGACAUUAAGUCACAAACAACAUGUCUAAGUUACCUGCUACGAAUAAGAAAUAAUAUAUUAAUAGGACAACAAAAGUACCUUGUUGCCAGAAAGAAUACAUUAACAAGACAACAAAAGUACCUUGUUGCCAAUAGCGCGCCCUAAUCCACAUGCUACUGCAGCAUUGUCGAUAUCACUGACAAAAUGCUUAAGAUUUGUUCUUACCCUGAAGAAAGAAAAAACUCAAUAACUUCCACAAUUACGAAGAAAAAAACAGAAGGAUAAACACCAAAAAUAGUCCUAAACAGAUUACCAUACAGCGGUAAGUAACCCAGCCAUCUGCCUUGAACCAACACGCUCAAAAGAGUGGCCUUUCAAGAUUUGCCCAAUUGCAUCCAACCACCACUCCCCGUUUGGGCUUCCCUCUAGCCCUACCUAAAGCCAGUGGAAAUUAUAUCAGGAUUACAGCUAGCAAAAAAUAGCAUAUAUUUUUUCUAUAUUUAUGCUUAUUAAUAUUCUAAAAAAUUAACAUGAGAAUUAACUCUUAACAGGUACUCCCUCCGUUCCAAAAUAUACGGCAUAUAGAUUUUCAGAAGUCAAGCUUUGUAAAGUUUAUAGAGAAAAAUAUCUACAUCUACAAUACCAAACAAAUAUUAUCAGAUACAUUGUGAAAUAUAUUUGUAUACUGUGUUUAUUUGGUAUUAUUGACGUUGAUAUUUUUCUCUAUAAACUUGGUAAAACUUGAUGGAAGUUAAUUUUUGGCACACAAAAAACGCGCUAUAUUUUGGAACAGAUGGAGUAGUAAACAAGCCACCUUUUGGGUAUGAAACCCAUUUGGGCGAGAGUAGUACUAGGAUGGGUGACCUCCUCGGAAGUCCUCGUGAAAGGGUUUCAUAUCUAGCCUACCCCAACUUGUUUGGGAUAAAAGGCUUCGUAAGUAAGUAAGUUUUUACCGUUUCUUUAGCUGCCGACAUUGCAAGAAAACCAGCGCCCAUCUCCACCUCUUGCAAUCCAACUACUACUACCCCAACCUCUUGUGUUGGGAAUUUCAGCCAAGCUCUUAGUGACUCAUAAGAUGCUUUUUCUUGCCCAACAUUCCAAGAACAUACUAACACCUUCAUGUAUUCAAUGUUUUUGUAUGAUAUCUCUUUCUCCGUCAAUUCAGAACGCAAAAUGCUGUCAGCAGGCCCUGGAGAUGAUAAAUUCCAUCCACGGACUCCCCCAUGACCAGCUAAUGUAAAUAUAUAUGAACUUCCGACAGCCAUACUCAGAAUUGGACUACUAUGUGCAAUCCAUCCUCCCAGCAAGUUGCCAUCCAGGUCCAAGAGCUGGAUGUUACCAUCCAUGUACCCCACCCACAAUCUUGUGCCAAAGUUGAGAAUACUUUGAACAGAAGAUGAAUGAUGCUGAAACUCUUGCAAACGAUUACCACUACCAUCCCAUUGAGCAACUGAGCCAUUUACAGAUCCUGUCCAGAUCAUCCCAUCCAUUGACAUUACUAAUGCUUCUAUUCUUCGAGUAUCAUCUCCAAAUCCUGCUUUAGCAGCAACUCGCCGAACUGCAUCAGCUGCUCCCAUCAAAGCAUUCCGUGAUCUCUGGAAAAAAUUAACAGGACUGCGAGCUUUCUCUUUCUUCGGAGAGGAGAAAAGGUUUUGUUUUGUUUCAUAGCCAUAUGGAUCCUGAGCAGAUAAGACGUCAAAACGGGUAUCAACUUGGCCAUCCACAUUUACCACUUUCAGGAGCUCCUUAGUGCGAGAAUCCCUAUACGGCAAAAUAGAGAACAAGAAUAAACACAAAUAUACGAACAGCUGGACUAAUGUAAGCAAAAUGCAACAGCAACAGGUGAAUGGACACAUGAAGUGUACCAGAGUGCAAAUGAGAGGUAACCAGCACUCCAUACUUUCGAUCUGGAAUUGUCAGAUAAUAGAAGUUUUACAUCUACGGAAGGCAAGGGGCAGGCCCCUCCGUCACUGACCAUGGUCCAAAGGUCAAUGAAUGAUCUUUCAACUAAAAGGGAGACCUUACACUUUUCUUCUCUUUCUAAAGCAAGAGAUUUCUCAAUUGCUUCUCCAUUCCAUACUUUAAUUAUUCCACCUUCAGAUCCAGACCAUAAAUCACCUAUGAUUGAUGCAAACAAGAUCAGAAUUGAACUAGUCCAAGUGCAAUUAGCUUGUUCAACAAUAUGAAUUCUAACUGCUGAAAAUAGUAUAACUAUGAAGAAGAAUCAUAAAGUUGCAAGCAGCAAGCCACCAUCUUAAACAUAUAGGCUACCUGAACAACAAAUUUCAGCAGCUCAUGCUGCGGAUCUAAUAGUUGAAUGCCUUAUCUGCCUUGUAGAUUUCACUAUUAAUAUUUGGUUGUGUUAAGAUGGAUGGCAUAGUUUUAUUAGCAUAGCACAAUAAUCUUCUAGCAAUUCGGAAAAAGAAGAAUGGAAGCAUGUCAGGACAAGUACUGGUACUUCGUCGACCAAAAUUAAAAUCUCUCUACAAGAUUGUCCUGGGGAUGCUGAUACUAGAGUUGGUUUGCAUAAGUAGUUGCAUGCCCACUGCUGCCAAUAUACUGCCAGGUCCCUUUUAACAAAAAAAAAAA
rnacentral:lncRNA from 1 species